GAGGAGGUCAUUUGUUAGGUGGCCUGUGCUGUUCAUCCCCACAGUCUUCCUGCAGUAACAUCGGCAGAUUUAGUUUCUGCUAACACCAUGUGGUAUGAAAUCUUGCCUAGUUUUGGUAUAAUGGUUGGCGUUUUAGCCGUGCCAAAUUGUGCUAGCUGGGUCGUCAACAAACUCUUUAUUGGAAAGUGGAAAGCUAGGGAUGUAAAAAAUCCGACCGAUCUGUGGUUGUACCGAAGAGACGUGAGGCUUCAUGGCAAAGCGUACAGGACUCGAGGGCUGGAAGCGAUAUCAGCCUAAAUCAUCCACAAUAGCUCCAUCUGCUGCAACUUUGAACGAACAUAGAAUGGACCGUAGCAAAAUGGUUUUUGCUGAUUGUGUAACAAAACACUAUACACAACUCGUGAUAAAGUGCUAAAUAAAAUCAAUAGCUGAAUAUUACCUGGCUUUAUUGUGAAUUUGUGAAUGAUGAGUGUUCUUCUGCCUCAGUUGUUUAGCACUCAAAUGAAUGUUACUGUUGUUUAUUUAAUGAUAUUUUAAACUGCCACUUGGUCAUUAAAUGUGUACAUAAAGUGUGUGGUACCAACUGAAAAUGUUUCGCUAAAUCUGAGCACAAUUUUUGGCAUUCAAAAAUGCAACUGAAGCUAUUCCACUCUGAUCUGCAAUCGUCAAUAAAUAGGCUUUGUUAGAAUGUUGUUAUUAAUAAAAAAAGUCCAAAAAAAUU